rnacentral:rRNA from 1 species
GACGAACGCUGGCGGCGUGCCUAAUACAUGCAAGUUGAGCGCUGAAGGUUGGUACUUGUACCAACUGGAUGAGCAGCGCACGGGUGAGUAACGCGUGGGGAAUCUGCCUUUGAGCGGGGGACAACAUUUGGAAACGAAUGCUAAUACCGCAUAAAAACUUUAAACACAAGUUUUAAGUUUGAAAGAUGCAAUUGCAUCACUCAAAGAUGAUCCCGCGUUGUAUUAGCUAGUUGGUGAGGUAAAGGCUCACCAAGGCGAUGAUACAUAGCCGACCUGAGAGGGUGAUCGGCCACAUUGGGACUGAGACACGGCCCAAACUCCUACGGGAGGCAACAGUAGGGAAUCUUCGGCAAUGGACGAAAGUCUGACCGAGCAACGCCGCGUGAGUGAAGAAGGUUUUCGGAUCGUAAAACUCUGUUGGUAGAGAAGAACGUUGGUGAGAGUGGAAAGCUCAUCAAGUGACGGUAACUACCCAGAAAGGGACGGCUAACUACGUG